ensembl:lncRNA
AAAUUCUGACACAUGCUACCAGAGGGAUGAACCUUGAAGACGUUAUGCUAAGUCAAAGAAGCCAGACUCUAAAGGACAGAUAUUGUAUGAUUCUACUUAUAUGAGGUGCCCAGAAUAUGUAAAUUCAUAGAGACAGAAAGUAGAUUAGAGGUUACCGGGGCUGCAGGAAGGAGGAAUAGGGAGUUAGAGGGUUACAGAGUUUCUGUUUUAAGUAAUGAAAAAGUUUCAGAAAUAGAUAGUGGUGAUGGUCGUACGCUGCGAAUAUAUUUGAUGACACCGAAUGGUACACUUGAAAAUGGUUAAAAUGGUAAACUCCAUGUUAUGUAUGUUUUACCACAAUUAAAAGAAAAAAGUCUAGAAUGAUGAAAAUAGGCAAGCAGAUGUAGGUGUGAGUCCAGAUGUACCUCCUUCCUGUAUGAACUGUGCGAGUGACAACAUCUCUGAAUCUCUAUUUCCUCGUUUUAAAGCUGUUGAUGAUAAUGCCUAACUCACUAGGCAGGUAGGAUGUGAAUGAUCGAGCCAGUACUGAGCACCCAGCGUAAGCACUCCAUACACGUGGAGGAGGCAGCAGCGGUGGUGAGGUCUUAUUAUGGUUGGUUCUGAAGUUCUAUAGCAGAAACUGAAACACAUGGAUCCCGAGUGUUCCUCGCCACACGCGCUGAUGAACGGUUAAGUGAUAACUGAGAUUUCGUUCUUGUUUUGGAAGAAGGAUUUUUCGACAGAAUGCCAAGGAAGAACCAGGUGUUUGAAAAAUGUGGCUGCGUUAAGUUAAAUGAGCCUUUUUCGGAUGCCAGAUGGGAACAUAAAGCUGUUUGAAACCCCAACGGUCUUUUCUUGUUGAUUUUCACAUGACUGAAAAAUGAUUUGACCGCAGCACGGAGGAGCUGCUGAAGUGUUCUUGCAGCCAGCUCCGUCGCUGCUAUUUAGGAAAAGAAGAGAUGUGAGAGCAGAAACUCAUAACCCUUGAAAACAGGAGGCUUGCCGUGGCAGCCUCGGAGGAGGCCUCUGAUUAUGGCGUUGCUGAGGGACAUGUUAAUUACCGGGCGCUCGGACACGUCCCUUCAGCCGAGUCCAGUCGGUCCGUUGCCUCGUGUACGAGGAAAUGGAGUUCCGUGGCGAGAGAAGCAGAAGCUACCUACCAGGUUGGAAAAGACCCACAGAAAACAUGGAAACACAUCGACGAAAACUGUUUGCUUUCUGUGUUCCAAAAAGUGGAUGAUCAAUGCCUGCUCCCCAGAUACCGUUACAUCCGCCUCCAGGGCACGUUAACGUUUUCUCAAAUGAGUUUACGCCAAAUUCUUAUGGAUAUUGACUGUGGCUCCCUAGUAAAGCACAGCUGCAGACCUGGAAACUCGUCCUCUGAACAUUUGGAAGCAACUGUGCCGGCUCCUUCCUUUGCUGCAGACACAUAUGGCCGCUGAAAAAUACUGCGCCUUUAUAUUUAACCCUUCGGGCCCUGAAAGGAGCUGUUUUGUGGAGCUGAGCUGGAAUUUAUUUGGUGCACAGUGAAUGCACCUCCUAAAAGUCACCCUUAGCUCCCGCCGUGUCCCCGUGUGCCGUGUGGCGGCACUACCUUGAAUAGUGGCUUACUAUUCCUUUUUCCUCUCUUUUCAACUGGAAAUAAAUAGAUUUUCAGAUGGUACUUAGUGUCUCAGGCUUCCCCUUUGGUGUAAGUGCCAACACUGAAAGGAAAGGGGUUUUUUCUCCCCAAGAAAAUGAAAAAGUUCUGUGUUGGAUUUGAAACUGAAGUCUCAGUGCUGGGAGCCAGCCCUGGGCAAACAGGCGGCUGGAGAGUAAGUCACCUCCCUCCUCUUCUCCUCACAGAGCUGUAUGCCCAUUACCUGAGGGGACGGAAUCCAAGCAUGGGUCAACAAUAAGGCAACAGGAAGACUUCACACAGUAGGGACGUUUAGUUGAGUCUUAAAAGAGCUCCCCUGAGACCAGGCUUUCAGCUGAGAGAGGAGACAAAAGAAAGAUGUCCUCUUGGAGGAAGGCAGUGAGGAGUGUCAUAGGUCACUUUCUGGGAUGCGCAGGAUCAGAUAACAGACACUCAGCUGGAAGAUGAUGAGGACUGGGGAUUCCAAAGGUGGUUGGGGGUCAAGUUCGUUCAUAAUCUCCACGCACGCCCUGCCCAAGUCACCUCAUACACAAAUAAGCCAAGCAAAAAGACUGCUUCCCAAGCAAACGCAGCUUCAGCUCCCCGGAACAGUCAUGCCAGUGCACUCUCCUUACAACAGAAGUCCUGCUCAGCCUGUGGUGUUAUAGCUCCCAGCCAGGUGCCCUCUGAACCACCCCCGUAUAGGAGUUCUGGAGCCACCACUGGAGGGUGAUUAUGAUUUGAACUCAUUGAUUCUACGAGGAACAUGAGGAAAAGGGCAAAACCACUUACUGGCAUUGGCUCUAACAGCGUCUUGAAUUAUACGGGCGCUGGCUUACAAUGAUUUGGUGCCAGGUCCUGGGGAGAGCGGGCUGCAUAGGAAGCCGGUCCCCAGGCUUGAGGAGCCCUCUCGGAGUCUAAGCGGGUCACACAGGCACAUAGUCAAGAACAAAACCCAAUCAAAUUGGGCUGUGAGGGGGCCCCCAGCCUGGUGCUGUGGAAGUCAGAGGCGGCUGUUACUAAUUUUGAUUGGGGCGUGGGUCAGGAAGGAAAGCGAAGAUAAGGAGCAAUCAGGAUUUCAACAUUGAUUUUGACCCCUAACAGUGGGCUCAGACCACCCCCCGCCCCUCCGGGGGAGGUGUUCUUACUUCAGGCACAUGGUCGUUGCUGAAGAAACAUUUGUGAGCAUUUGGAUGGAUGAAUAAAUGAACAUCUCCAUGAAGAAACUGGGACUCAGAGAAGAAAUAACUUGCCUGAGAUCACACAGUUCAUAAAUAGCAAAGCUAAAAUUCGGACCUACGAAGCUUAUUCUUUUUCUCUCGCAACACAGUAUUUGCUGGGUGAUGGUGCGGAAAGAGCCAGAAACCACAGACAGCCAUGAGGAGAACAUGAUAGGAGCCAACCAAGACCGGGAUUUCAGGAGAGAAGGAAUAAGCCCUUGCUCAUAGAUGUCUGUUUCUUUUUUAUAUUGGCAAGUUCACAUCAGCCAGGGAGCACAUGGCUAACUUGUAAUAAUAUUCGUCUUUAAGAAAACAAAACCGAAAAAACUAUGGUACUCUAUCUUCACUCUCUGAUAUCUAACCGGUAGCUCUGGUGCUAGAGUCUGAAUUAGCCCUGCGAAAAUAUUCUCUUUUCAGCCCACCUUGUUUGGAUAUUUGAUUCAGAAACAAUUAAUGAAGUCCAUUUGCCAUAUGGGUAAGUGAACUCAUUUUAAGUAGGUGUUCUGCAUCCCUGCGGCUCCAGGAGCUGUUGUCAUAGUAACGUUUCCCCCCUUGACUUGCAGAAGGCACAGUCCAUGGAACCAGUGGCAAUGUAGGUCAGGAGUGAAAAGGGGUUUGGUGGCUUCGCCUCAGUGCCCAGUUUGGCACAGCCAGGGAUUGUUAAUGCUGGGGGCUCCAGAGGGGCUCGCCCUCCUCAGGAUGUUCUCUGCUAGGACUGAGUCAGAAGAGGAGAUGCAGAGGAGGGGGGCCAACAGGAGGCACGGAAACGGCAAGGAGAGGCUGGCAGGAGCUGCACGCCUGCAUGGAGAUUCAGAACCCCUGAGAGCCCAGGAUGACCUGGGACAGGUCACUGGCUGAGGGCGGAGGAUGUGGAGCGUUGGGGGCUUACUAUCCCUGCUGCCUGGUGGGAAUUGCGCCCCCUGCAGUCCAGACCCAUUCAGAGUUGGUUUAAGAAGGCCCACGUCAAUCAUCAAUAUAACAGUUUUAGCUGCAGGAGAGGUCAGCUUUACAUUCAGCCUGGAAAUGUGUUUAAGAAGCUUUUGUUUACUCAUCCAUUCAUGUAGCAAACAUUUACUGGCCCGUUUUCUGCACCAGGUACCGUGCUGGCCAGUGCUGGCUUCAUGGGUGCGCCGCCCUUGCCCUUGCACAGGACCCCAUGCUCGGAAGGACUUUGAGCUUGGUUUAAUGCUCUGUUGCCGUCUUGAAAUUCUUAAUCAUUUUUGAACCAGGGCCCCACGUUUUCAUUUUGUACUGGGCUCCGCACUGGGGGUACAGUGUUCAGCCAAGCCAGACACACUCUCUGCCUUCCUGAAACUUGUGGCACAGCAGGAGAGACAGACACAAUCAUGACACAAAUCAAUGUGGAAUUACAACUGGGAGCCGUGCCAUGAGGGACGGGUCUGUAAUGUCUUGCGAGAAGAGCCUUGUACAGCUGUAUGGCUUCACCUCACUGUAUUCAGAAUAGUGGAGAUGGAUCAAAUUACGGCAGAGAGGGUUCAAGUUAGUGUUGCUGAACUAAGUGGUUGGGAGCGCAAGGCAGGCUUCCGAGAGAAGAGGGCAAGUUUCCCCCUCAAGGUUGUAAAGAUCAGGAGGAUACCCACCUGUCAGGGCAGGUGCUUUGGGGGCAAACUUUUAUCUUUCUCUCUCUUCUAAAGGGUUUUUUCUUUUGACUUUGGUGUAAUUUCAGACCUACAGAAAAGUUGAAAGAAUAAUAC